AGUCCUCCUUCAUCGGGGGUAGGGGCCGGCACAGAAGCCUGACCGGGAACUCCGGAUACUACGCCCCACUCUCCCCGUGAUCCUCAUCUCUCCCAGGAUCUGGAAGGGAAGCAGGUGUUUCCAGUCCUAGAACUCCUUCGGGCGGCACCCGGGGCCCCGCCUCUCGGCGUCAGAUCCGUGGCACUCUUGCUGGCGGGCGAAAACAGGGACCCCAGCCCUUCACUCCCAUCAGCUAGGGGAACGCGGACAGCCUAAUCCUCCGCUGGGUGUCCUGAUCUCGGGCCCGAUUCUUCAAUCCUCAGAUCUUUCCUUCUACAGGCCAGAUAAGCCAACAGCCCCAGAGCCCAGGAUGUGCUGCUCUGAAAGGGCUAGGGCACGAGGCCAUCCACAGAGAUCCCUGGUGAACUUAGGAAGCCGGCUGGAAUAUUAGGCCAGAAUGCAAGAGGCCCGGAAAUGGAGUGGGGGAACAAAGUUCUGGUUCUGUUUGAAAAGCAGCUUUUUCUAGGAGCACUCUGCUGGAAAACCUGUCAAGGAUAAAGAGUCCAUCUGUCAGACUAGAGUUGGGCAGUAGUGUUGGCCCUAGGGAAAGAUAGCUUGUGCCAAGGCUUUCCCUGAGGUGUUUCUCACGCUCAUUUUUCCUUCAGCCUCCAGACUAAAAAAACACGUUUAAUGGAAUGUUAAGAACAAAACCAUCUGGGCUACAGAGUUUCUUAUAUACAUUUAGACAAAGCAGCCUACAAACAUUUGGGAAACGGAAGAAUUACAGCUACUUUCUCUAUCCCAAGAAAAGCAUCUCCCUUUCUUCCCUCACAACCCGAGGUGGAAAGGGCAGACUCCCUACAUCCUUCAAGGAAACACUUCAAGAGUCCUGGAGUGAGCUAGAAGUUACCUUUAGCAAAAGGAGGAUGGCAGCAGUAAGCAAAGAUAACUAGGGUUGUUUCUUUUACGAAUACAAGUUUACUUAAAAAAAUUUUUUUAAGUCAUCUUUACAACAAAGUAUAAUGAUGUGGGCUAAGCAUAAGAAGAUUGGAUGAAAAAAGGAUAAAAUUAUCCUCCAUAGGCCAGUCUUCUUUCCUGGCACUGAAUAGGCCUUCCCCUAUCAAACUACUCAAGGUUCUACAUGUAUUUCCCCAUCCAUAGUAAAAGGAACAUAGUAGAAGAGAUGGAUGCCAGGAAAAAAUAAAGACUUAUAAAGGUAAGAACAGGGUUAAAGAGAUGGAUGGCAGGAGUUUUGGAAAAUUGGGGAUUAAAAGGUGCCCAACCAUUCCCUCUCCAGAGUCAGGCAAGAAUGCCAAAGGAACCUAGAGAUUUGGAAUUCGGACAAGGACCACUCCAGCUUACCUAUUUCAUUAUUAAAGUUUUCUUCCCAUUUUC